rnacentral:lncRNA from 1 species
UAAUUUCUCUCUGGACUCUGUCUAAUUUCUUGCUUUCUUUUUAUGCUUGUUCAGCGCGUGUGCUGCUCCGUUGUCAAAUGUUGAUAAUUUAUUUGCUGUAGGCUUUAGCUAGUUUAGUCCCAGUGAGUAGCUACUAGCUAGCUCUAUUAUAAUUAAUUCACGAACUAAUUUCUAUCCUUGUUUCAUUAUUGUCUGUUUGACACAUAUUGUCAACUUAAAUAGGUAAAACCAUUUUUUCAAAAUUUGAUAUUCUUCAAAAAAUACAGAAAAAAUACAGUAAAUGCACAUGUUUCCAAUAGUGCUCGGAUUUUUAGCUUAUUUGGGCAAUAUGAUUAGGAGAUAAUGUCUGUUAUAGUGAACAGAGUUAAAAUUUGGUUCAAAAUUUGAUAUUUUCCAGAAAAUCCAGAAAUAUUCUAGUGAAUAGUACAUGUUUCCAGUAGUAAUCUGGGAAACUUUGUGCUUAUUUGGACGAAUGGAUUUGGAGAUAAUGGUUAUCUCACUAAAAAGCUUAAAAAUUCUGUUCAAAAUUUGAUAUUUAAAAAUAAAACAAAAGAUUCUAGUAAAUAACAUGUUUCCAGUAGUAAUCCGGGAAAAAAAUCAGUUUAUUUGCACAAAAUGAUUAGGAAAUAAUCCAUUUUUUUCUUCAAAAGCGCGUCAAGUUUUCUCGGCAUAAACUUUGAGCCCACCCUCCAUUUUUUUUCUAGAUUCGCCACUAUUUGGGAGCAAAGUAGUCCCUAUGUAGUAGUUUUGCUCUGGACACCCUGUCCGAGUUGAUCACUCUUCUUCCUUUGAUUGAGCCCUUGAAGUUGAGAAUAUGCUCCACUUGACUGUUCAUUUCCUCUUUCAUGCUCAUGAGCAUACUCAAGUCCACUUCUUCGUUCGAAUCUGACGAGUCGAAGAACUCAUCUAGAAUCAUUUGGUCAAGCUCUGUCGGUCCAUACUCCUCGUCCGACGAAGCAUCGGAAUCCAUCGUUUUACCUAACAAAAUCACAAAAUAUCCGGUCGGACAAUGUGUCAAACACAUCAAGCACAAGGCGGAGACAGAGAGUUGUCGGACGUACCACGGUGGCGUUCGGGCUGGCGACCACGUCCCCCGUGGUGAGGACGGAAGGGCUCUUUCGGAGCUGGCAGCGGAGAGCCUGGGAAUGGCUGCGGAGCGGGCGCGGCGGCGGAGCACGAGAUGGACGUCGUGGAGGAGGAAGAAGAGAGGAGAUAGCAAAUGAAUCCGACUGGUCUUCGGGGUGGAUUUGUUGCAAUUUGGGAUGGGAUCGAGCUGUCGGGUAGGACGUGACGGGCGUGCCCGGGCACCUCCAUAUCCGCCUCAUAUUUGGGUUGGAUAUGAACGGUGCCGGUCAGUCCAGGCAUUUGAGGACCGUUUAAGAGGCCCGUCUGAGUCAAAAAAUCGUGACCGGAUAAUGACCAGGCGUAUGAGGCGGGUUUGAGGCGCCCGUCUCUAGAUGCUUUGCUUCCAGAGUUCAGUUCUCUUCAACCAACGAUGUAAGGUCAUUUCCAGUUUCAAACCGUUGCUCCAUCACCGCAACGCCGUGACCAGCUAGCAUUUAUACGACGCGUCCUGCGAGAGACUGGAGACAGUUCUAUUUGCGUCAGUAAGGGGUCGUUUGGUGGUUUGGAAAUUUCAAUGUAAUUUUUAUAAUAGAUCUGGUCCUUUAAAAAAAAAAUCUGUCAAUAAGAAAUCAUCAAGAGGGAGAGAGAACUUGGGGAAUCAAUGAAUGGACAUCUAGCUAGAAGAAAGAAGCUAAGUUUUAUCACGCGCGUGUAUUGUACGCACGCGUCACGGUCGGCUCUCGAAUGCCUUGCUCCCCACCUUGAUGGCACCAAAACCACCGCCGCGCGCGGCCAGUCCGCCCACCGCCGCGCCGCGACUCCUCUGCUCUGGACGUUUCAGCGGGCAGGCGCCGAACUCGCACGGCCCGUCCUCAGCGAUGGUCACCAUCGUCGCCGGGGGCUUCCUCCGCGACAGGACGGCCGCCGGCGCCUGGCUAAGGUGGACCUUCCUCUUCGCUGCCCCGACGUCCACCGGCUCGGGCGCGACGCGGCGCUGUUUCGACGCGGCACGGACAGGGUCGUCGGCGCGAUCCGAGCUCGCCCGCAGGUGCAUGGUCGUGGCCGGCCCGCCGAAGCCGCGGCCACCCACCACAGCCCCCGCCGGCAUGCGGCGCGCGCAGCCGGACAUGCAGCUCACGUAGAGGUCGCACGCCCUCGACAGCGCGCGAAUCGGCGCGCCGAGGCAGAAGAAGCACCUGCUCGUUUUCCUGCCACCCUUCUUCAUCCUUCUGUCUGCGUGCCGGAGCUGCGUUGGCUUCUCGCAGAGAAACACAAGAUCCUUUAAACUCGAUGGCCGGCUGCGUUAUGAGAGUGUACAAUGGCAACUCGAUCACCUCGUGAAAUAUAUACGCUUCCAUUUCGUCGACGUUGCCCGUUCCGUCCGCGUAAACCGCCGCUUGGUGUUGACCUUUUUGCGUUGGCGUUCAUAUCCGUGGGGUCGGCAGAUUUCUGUACCGGCGGAUAAGAGGGAAAUGGUCAGAAUCGGCAAUUAUUUUGAUGGAUUCGCAGGAAUUUGUCCACGGGUUUGGAGGAUAGGGCGGAGCAACAGGUGGUAUAAAUCGGCUGGCCAACUCGCACGCGCUGGGUCUGCUGAUCCAGCAAAUCAUUGCGUAUGUGCAUACCGUACGUGCAUGUUAGCCGUUUUUUGCGUGUCUGUUACGGAGUACUGUACUACCGGCAAAUAUACUCCCUCCGUCUAGGUGUGUAAGUCAUCUUACGAAAACCAAAUAAUCCCAAAACACUUAGACGCGGUGCAUUAAAUUCUAUCUCAUUUUUUGUUUCUUGACAUAUCAACCAAUAAGAGAAGUAAGGUGUGCAUGCUUUUAAUAACUUGAGACUAUCAAACACGACAUGCAGUGGUUAGUUCAUUGCAUGCAAUGCUAUUAAUUAGCAAAUAAACAUUAAGUUUUUUUGUUUUUUCCUCCUCCUUGGUCACGGUGCACAACCUAAAAUGACUUACUCACCUAGACGGAGGAAGUACAAUAGUAAAACUUUUCUACUGUUGCUUGUUUCAGCGCACGUAAGCCAUUGAAACACAGCGACCUCUAUUGUUUCGAUUGUCCAGUAAACCAUGUCUCCUGAGGAAGCUACCAUCACUUUUCCUUUUCAUUUUUAAAUUAAAUUUCUGAUUGGCCACUUGCCCCUUGAUUUUGGCAUAGAGAGGACCAAAGAGAAAGCAGAAGACACGGACACACCACCAUUAUGCAUUUACAUCAUUCUUAAGAAAGCAAUUAGGGACGGAAGCGUUAACAUACAGAGAUGUGGACUUUGGAGCAGAGCGGAGCAAUUAUUCAUGUUUCUCGGGGUCAACUUUGAAAAUUAACCUGUCUAAAAAAAACAUUGAAAAUUAACCAGAUCGCGGCCGUCGAUUUUUCUUCUACUGGACGGAUAUGCGCACCCGUUUGCGACCCGAAGCACUGGUCCUCCGAUCCGCUGGCCGGCCAGUCCAUAUCCCCUCUACCGCCUACCGCACGUCACUUGACCAGCCAGCCGCCCCACUCCACCCUCCACUGCGGCACGAGCUCCCGGCGAUGUCGUGGCUCGCGCGCUCCAUUGCGGCCACCCUCUCCUCCGCCCCCGACGACGACGAAGACGACCACUCCGAGGCGGCCUCCGGCGACAAAAGCCCGGAUCACGCCGCCAGCGCCGACGACGAGGAGGACGAGCAGCCGGACACCCCCGGCCGUGGGGUCAAGGGCGACAUCUCCGAGCUGACCGAGUCUCUCACCCGACGCUUCUGGGGCGUCGCCUCCUUCCUCGCGCCACCGCCGCCGGCCGGGGCCGAGGCCGCCGAGACGUCGACGGCCGCGGCUGAGGCGGAGGCGGAGGGAGAGUAUGGGCCCCAGUCCCCGCGGGUCGCCGGGAUCCGGAACGACCUGGCCGAGAUCGGGGGCAGGGUGCGGAGUGGCAUCUCGAUGCUGUCCAACGCCAACGCCGUGGUGGAGAUCUCCAAGAUCGCCUCGUCGUUCCUGCCUUUCGUGCCGGAGGAAGAGGAGGAGGAGGUGGAUGCGGUGGGCGUGACGGAGGAGGUGGUGGUGUUCGUCAGGCACAUCUCGACCUCUCCCGAGACGUGGCUCGAUUUCCCCCUCUUCGUCAACGACCGGCACGCCGAUGGUAAGACCCAGUUGCUUCAGACUUUUCUGCUCAAGUUUUAUCUGCAGUAGAUUAUUAUUUUUUGUCUACUUUGCACUUGUGUGGUUAUGAUAUGCAAGUGCAGCAGAAGACUCUGAAUUCUGAAACUGAGAUUAUUAGAGUGGAAUCAGGUGUUUUAAUCUAGGUCUUUGCAGUUUUGCUCAAACUAUGUUUAUACUGCCUAUGCUGUGGUUACUAGAAUGGUGUAUUUGCUAAGUGUGGAGGCAUGAGGAUGUAGCUUCAGGCCAAAUCAACCACAUCAUGUUCAAACUGACUGUUUCUCCACAUUUUUUAAGGUUUGCCAAGGAAUUGCGUUGAAUUAAUUAAUAUGUUAGCACUCCGUCUGAUUACAUUUGCUGAUGUCCAGUUCGACAGAGUGGGUACCUGAAAUGAGUUACUGUGUCUAGUCUCAUUAGGGCUUUAAUCGAGUUUGUUUGUUUAAUUGAAGUGAUAAUUAGUGAGGAAGUUUUGGAGUACAGAUUGCGGAUUUUAAUAAUGAGAGAGAAUGAUAGUCCAUGUAGUGUGUUCCAGCUCUCAAUAUGCACCUUCUCAUAAAUGCUUAUGAUGAAAAUUUUGUCACUUGCCAUGUAUUAUUAGUAUUGAAUUGUCACGAAGCCGCAAUUUCUGCAAAAUCAUCAGGAUUAACUAUGCCAUUUACUGAUCUACAAGACCUUCCAAAGCUAGAGAUGAAUUAGAAAACAUCAAAACACUCAAGUGACAAAGCUAGAUGCAGACUCAAAGCACAUAUACCAGCACCGUAACUUAACCUGAUGAUUCACGUAAACGACAUCAAAUAAGGUUGUUAUAAAAAUUGCUUGCUUGUAACAUUAAAGUUUUACUUAUUAAGAUGUACAAAUGAAGUCCCUACAAAUAAAUGAGUUGUGUCAAUUGCCCGCACACCUUCAAUCAAAUAACUCAAAAGAAGCACUUGACCUUGACUGCUUUCUAUACUUAGUGGAAGUUAGGCUUGUUUUCAAGGAAUCAUGGUUCCUGAUGAUAUCAGUACAUGUACACAAUAUAAUUGAAUCAAGUACAUUUAUCCAGCAAUUUUGUUUUGUAGAUUUUAGCUUUUGUACAUAGACUUAUUGCCAAUCUUCCUGUUGUUUAUGGCGUAAUCAUAAUUUUUCCUACCUACCAAACUUGCGGACCAUGGAACUAUAAUUGACUACUGUUCUUCUUUGCACUAACUUGGCAUAGUAAUCAGUCACAAAUGUGUUUUUAGAAUGAUCAUGAAUGCUUAUUACUAUAUGUUUAACAUCAUGCUCUCCUUCUCUUCAUUAUGUGGGAGUAGUGUUUACUUGCCAUUCAUGCAUCUUGUUCCAUCAUGUCAGUUGUAUGUUACAUAUCACGCCUGACUGUUGCUCAAUUCCUUCGCUUAUAUCUGCUAUGCUUUUGUGUUCAGAUUUUGAACUGUCAGAUGCACAAUAUGAACAUGCAUUGGCUAUAGAGCGUAUAGUACCAAGCUUAUCAUAUCUCAGAACCGAACUUUGUUCGACCAAUAUGAGUGAAGCAUGCUUUUGGAAGAUAUAUUUUGUGCUUCUUCACUCAAAGCUCAACAAGGAAGAUGCUGAACUUCUUUCAACGACACAAGUACACUCCCUUCUCUUUGUCCUAUUAUUUCUGUUGUGUUUUCCAAACAUUCUUAGUUACUAUAGAUUAUCAUGCCAUCUUGCUGCAAUGCAUGCAAACCUACAAAUAGCUUUGUAAACAGAAACACGUGCCCAUGCAUUUGAUUGUGUUUACCUGUUUCCGAAUGGGGCCUCUCAUUUCCAAAUUCACCUGUUAAGAGUCAAUUUUGGAGUUGUAGCUGUAUUGGUGAAGUUUUUUUUAUCAGGAAUUCAUCUUUUGAUCCCUUCUAUAUCUGCAAUACGUCAUAUUGCAUGUUCACAAGAAAGAAGACAUCAAUCUGCAUUCUCAUUAAGCUUGAGAUAGUGAAAUUCCCUGAUACUUUAUUCUAUGCAACUGUAUGGAAUUGGAUCUGGAUUGUUUAUCCAUAGUUGAAAAAGGGAUUGAACCUAUGGUCUCAUAAUAUUGCGAGACUUGUCUGAAACGUGUAAGCUGGGAAAUCAGGUCAAUUUAUCUGAGUACUGAAAACCAGCUUCAGAAUAUCUAGAACUUAAGAGUGGCCCUUGUUGGCUUUAUGAACAAGGAUUGAGUGUUACAUCCACUUCCAGCCAAAUAUCAAUUAUGAUAAAUCCACCAUGUACCAUCAUCAUUGAAACAGUCUUGCUUAAGUUUAUAUUAGCUCUGAAUGCUAAGUUGAGGAUAUUGUUAACUUUAAGGUCGCGAGCAUAACAAAGCCCAGAAGUGGCAUCUAACUAUAUAUGAUCUCCCUUAAAUCUUUAUGCAUAUCCAAGCUCCACAUUGUAUUCUCAUUGCAGAUACGCUAAGUCACUCGUCAUGUUGAAUCUAUCGGCUCAUCAAGUUGAAUAUACUCAGCGUUGUUAUUUUUUUCAACAUUCUUGUGGUGGAAACAAAUAGGAUUGCUUAAAACUAAGGUCUUCCAAAUGGAAAUAUCAUUGUAAAAUAUAGCGUACUCCCUAGUCCCUACAGCAACCUGAACAGCAGGAGGAUAUGUUAAUGGGCCGUUAGAAUUUGGAUUGUGAACUAAGAUUAUCUUAUUUUUUCUAGUAUGCAUAUAAUCCAUGGACAAUUUCCCGUCAAUAUAGUUACAGAAUGGUGACCAUCAUGCAUGUGGAAUGUUGUGGAUCAUAUUAUGAUGUCAUCGGUAGCAUGUAUACUAGGGAAACUUACAUUGACAACAACAAGAAUUAAGAAAUGUCAGACAUUCUAGUAAUGUUGGAAAGGGGUUCUGGCGAUGAUCUUUUGCUAAAUAUCACCUUAUUGAGAUAUUUCUUUCAUGCAGAUACUGGAAGCAAGAGAAGAGUUAUUGCAGAGCUCUCCAAGGAUGAAAAAUGUUGCGUCUGAGGGUCCUGGGGGCUCAUCAGAAUGCAGCAAUGUUCUAUCUACCCAAGCUGAAGGUAGAGAGUUGUCACCCUCAAGCAUCCAAGACAAGAGUGGAAUGUCUGAAGCAACUUCUUUCCAAGAACCAACUCCUGAUCCUCUGCCAGGGGCUGAGGCUGACAAGCAUCCCAUUUCAACCAGCGAGCCGGAAAUUAUUGACAAGUCUGUAAUUGAAGAGGAGCUGGUGGUGAAUACUGAAAUCAAGAAUCCGGGUGACAAACCCAACCUGUACACCCCGGAGGAUGACGACGACAAAGAAGUGGAGGAUUGGCUAGAGGACAUGGACCAUGCCGACAACAAAACAGGCAAUAUCACCUCGGUUGGGCAGGACGAAGACGUGUCAUUCAGCGACCUGGAGGAUGACGAUGAUGAUUAAGGGUUGCCUGCUGGUAUAUACCGAGCCCAGUGCCUGAUACAUAUGCUGCGGCUUCAAGACAUACGGAUACGGUCGCUGUUAAACGAAGGAUCGUGUCUCCGUAGCCACUACAAAGCGAACAGAGCGGAAGCAGAAUCACGACAAGUUGAUAAGUGUAUGUCUCUGGGGCUUUGCUUUCUGGAUUCUAGUUGCACGUUUACUUGUGUGCCGUCAUGGUCUGUACAUAGAAACACUAGCCGUGCGUGUGCAACUACCGCUUCUAAGCCGCGUCGAUGCAAGAUUCUGAAUGUAGAUAUCAGAACAUGUUUUUUUUAGUGAACGCACAAUACGACAGGAACUAAAGCUGUCAGAUAUCGUGUAACCGUUCAAGUUCAAGUAAAACUCGUUUUGUUUCCGUAUUCUACUUCUUAGAGUUUGGGGAGCAGCCUGCUUUUUACUCUCC